GGAUGCGAUCAUACCAGCACUAAAGCAGCGGAUCCCAUCAGAACUCCGAAGUUAAGCGUGCUUGGGCGAGAGUAGUACUAGGAUGGGUGACCUCCAUUGCCACCAUUGCCACUAUUGCCAUCU
rnacentral:rRNA from 10 species